CAGCCGCCGCGGUAAUACGAAGGGGGCUAGCGUUGCUCGGAAUUACUGGGCGUAAAGGGCGCGUAGGCGGACAGUUCAGUCGGGGGUGAAAGCCCGGGGCUCAACCUCGGAAUUGCCUUCGAUACUGGCUGUCUUGAGUAUGAGAGAGGUGUGUGGAACUCCGAGUGUAGAGGUGAAGUUCGUAGAUAUUCGGAAGAACACCAGUGGCGAAGGCGACACACUGGCUCAUUACUGACGCUGAGGCGCGAAAGCGUGGGGAGCAAACAGGAUUAGAGACCCGCGUAGUCCCUGUCUCUUAUAC
rnacentral:rRNA from 1 species